CCCAAGUAAUUUCUGGCCAUCUUGCUUUCAUUUAACAAAUAAUUUGGUGAAACUUCUGGGUGCCUUCAACCCAAAUACUGCUGAAAUCUUCCUGCUUCUUAAACUCUGUAUGUUAGACUGAAACCCCAUUUAUCAGAAGUCAAUAGGAAAGUAGGUAGAGAGAUUAUAUGGAAAGGGUUUGAGGUAAAGUUUAGGUUCUUUAGGAAGCUUAAGGGCCUUUCAUUAUCAACUCAUACAUCUCUUUGGCCUCAUUAUCAUUACUCCACUGAGCUUUGCUCUAGAAGAGUAUUUGCAGUUCACAAAUACACAUUUUUUCUUUUUUUUCCCUAGUUUUCACUAUAUGCUGUACCUUUAAUAUUCGUAUGCUGUUCAUUCACCCAUAGUGACCUCCUAGUGCUUUUUGUUUCUCCUCUCCUAGCUCCCUGAACAUUGCUUUUUAAGGAACAUUCUGUUUUUGCAGUUGUGAUUUAAUGGGACAGUUUUUGCAAAGCACUUUACUAUAGUGCCUGGUUAAUAAGUAUACACUGAGUAGACAAUUAUUAUUGUCUUCAGAUAUUUUUCUUCUCUACUCACAAGCUAGUCAGUUUCACUCAGGUCACACUUUGUUACUUUCGUUUUAGCCUCCUUAGUUUACCCACCUUAUCUUUGAUGAGGGUCCAUGUGGCGUCAGCUUCAUCCAGUGUUAGCAGGUGAGGGGUACCAACCAACAUGGCUGGAGAGUGGGAGGGUUUGGGCAGGAUAGUGGCUGCUGCAGGAACCCCAAGCUGCCCAGGUUGAUGAGGCCGCAGGCCUUGGUCUCUGACCCAUUCAACAUGAGGUCAUAGAGGUCCUGCUAGGUGAUGGAGCCCCUAGGUGGGGAGAGGACUUUACUUCACUACAGCCUAUGGUUCAUACUUUUGAGUCACCUACCUACUCCUGUGCUCGAGGAGAGGAAAAUGCAGGUAUUUGUUAGAGUAUGUGUGUGUGAGAGGGUGGGGGUGUCACAGGGAGAGAAAUUCUUAGACUGAGUUCUUUAAAGAGACAGGGUCAGGUGUUAGUUACAGAUGAUGAGACUGGACCAGGAAUCUGAAGGAUAUGGAAGAAAUAGGGCAAGACUAACACUAAGACCAAAACAGUGGCUGUCUACCACGGCUACACUUUGAAAUUAACUAGGAGCUUUAAAAAUUAUUGAUGCCUGGAUCUCACAUCCAGAGAUUCUGAUGUAAUUGAUACGGGGGUGUACCUGGGUAUCAUAAUUUUUUAAAGCUCCUAAAGCAAAUUUAAUGUUGCAGCCUAGGUUGAAACAUGUUACUAACAAGUAGAUUACAAAUUACAGUGUGUGUGUAUAGGAGGGUGCUGUGCCUCACAACGACAGUGUGUAUUGUAAGAAUCUAAUUGGAAUUAAUGUUGCCUUUGUAACAGAAGAAAAUUUUCAGGCAACUGUAAUUAACCAAUGUAAAUUUGAGCACCAUUUUCAUCAUGUUCCACUCACUGUCCUAGGCUUAUUUGUGUCCGGUAGCUUCUCUUUCACAUCAUUUCUUAGUUAUAGGUUACCUGCCCCUGUGUCUUUGUUAAAGAUCUCAACCUAGAGUUUCGCUGGAGAAGAGUAGUUAUUCUGGAGACCUUUCCAGUAGCUACAUUUUCACUCUGCGCCUUGUCUUUCAGAGUCCUCCCUCUGAGUCUCCUUUGUGCUCAGGAAUACACUUUGUGUGUAGAGACUAUCUUCCCCUAUCUUGUAGAGCUAUCCCACAAAGUUGGCUGAGAUCUCAUGAAUAUGGCAGCACAGCCAAGGGUCCUGCCAUGACAGGAGAGUGCUGGGCAAAGUUUCCCAAAGGAGAUGUGACUGUCCUCAGGGGAAGGCAGGUCUCCUUAGAGCUAAGGGUGUGGGUGCUAAAUGUUUGAGUGUGAUUCUGUUUUCCAGGAGGGGAAUUAGUAUCAAAUAUUGGUUGAACUCAUUUGUGCUAGAGGCUCUACCAUGCACUUUGAAUGAAUUAUCUUGAUUAAUCUUUUAAAUAGCCUCUUGAGUUAGAUGCCAUCAUUGCUUCUUUUUGCAAGUGAAGAAGCAGGCUUAUAAAGGUUAAAUAAUUAGCCCUAGGCAUUCAGUGGAUUAAAAGGGAUGCAGAAUUCAAACCAAAGGCUGUUUGAGUCCAGCUUUAACCCUUGCACAGUAGUUUCUUUUGGUGAAGGUAGAAGCCAACAUGUUCUGCUACUUCAGAGUAUGGUGGGAAGAGUCCAUGCUAGAUGGAAAGUAUAGAGUGGGUUAGUGAAAAGGGAAUGGGCAAGGUGAGAGAAGAGCCACACAGACCAAAUAAGCCCAAGUUUCUUGUUAAGGCAAGUAAAACCUUACUCCUUCCUAGUUUAGCACUUUUUAAAAAUUGUUAUGACUAGCAAAGGUAUCACUAGAUGUGCAGUUCAGUUGGUACCUUUGUUCUGUCCGGAAAGGAAUUCUGAGUAGAGAUAGAAUGAAAAGAAGUGUACGCAAGGACAAGACAUAUAUACCUGACAGGCAGCGUAAGAAGACAGAGAUGCAAAGGUGCAGCUAUAAUGAGCUGAUAAACAGCAACAGAGCAUGGUACACAUGUGGAUCCUAAGGCAAUUCCAGAACAAGAAAGGAAUGGCUGAGGGCCCUCACCACAAUUUCCUUGACUUGAAGAUAAGAACUGUGUUUUCAUCCUGUGCAAAUCUUGUUCCAUUGGACGACCAAUGUGCUAAAAAUUACAUCCUGCAGUCAUGUUCA